rnacentral:tRNA from 1 species
CCUGGCGCAGCGGCACGCGCGCGCUGCGCACCCACCUCGACUGGGUGCAGCCCGAGGCACCGGUCUCGCUCGCGGUGUUCGAAUCGCUGCGCGAAGCC